rnacentral:rRNA from 1 species
AUUGAACGCUAGCGGGAUGCUUUACACAUGCAAGUCGAACGGCAGCGCGGACUUCGGUCUGGCGGCGAGUGGCGAACGGGUGAGUAAUGUAUCGGAACGUGCCCAGUAGCGGGGGAUAACUACGCGAAAGCGUAGCUAAUACCGCAUACGCCCUACGGGGGAAAGCAGGGGAUCGUAAGACCUUGCACUAUUGGAGCGGCCGAUAUCGGAUUAGCUAGUUGGUGAGGUAACGGCUCACCAAGGCGACGAUCCGUAGCUGGUUUGAGAGGACGACCAGCCACACUGGGACUGAGACACGGCCCAGACUCCUACGGGAGGCAGCAGUGGGGAAUUUUGGACAAUGGGGGCAACCCUGAUCCAGCCAUCCCGCGUGUGCGAUGAAGGCCUUCGGGUUGUAAAGCACUUUUGGCAGGAAAGAAACGUCGCGGGCUAAUACCCCGUGGAACUGACGGUACCUGCAGAAUAAGCUCCGGCUAACUACGUG